CUAAUAAUUAGGUCUUGUUCGACACUUCGCCCUGUUUUAUCAAAAACAUGUCCUUUUGAUUAAUAUUUUAAGGUCCGGCCUGCUCACUGACAAGGUUUUAAAGAGCCGCGGAAUUUUGCCCGUGCAAAGGUAGCAUAAUCAUUACUCUCUUAAUUAGAGGCUGGAAUGAAUGGCUUGACGAAAAAUCAUCUGUCUUUUAAUAAUUUAUAUAAUUUAACUUUGGAGUUAAAAGGGCUUAAAUUUUUUUUUAGGACGAGAAGCACCCUAUAGAGCUUAACAUUUUAUUUAUAUAUAAUUUUUUGUUGGUUUUUCUAUAAAUAUUGUUGAUGUUUGGUGGGGGGGACAGGAAAAAAAAAUAAACUCUUCAUUAUUAAAUCAUUAGUUUAUGUUAUUAUGACCCAAAAUUUAGGAUCAUAAAAUUAAGUUACCUUAGGGAAAACAGCGUAAUUGUUUUUGAAAGCUCAUAUCAACAAACCAAAUUGCAACCUCAAUGUUGGAUUAAAAAAAAUGUUAGGGGUAGGAGUCUAAAAAUUAGGCCUGUUCAACCUUUAAAUUCUUACAUGAUCUGAGUCCAACCGGAUUUUACAGACUGGCCU
rnacentral:rRNA from 1 species